rnacentral:rRNA from 1 species
UACGUAGGAGGCAAGCGUUGUCCGGAAUUACUGGGUGUAAAGCGCGUGUAGGUGGUGGGCCAAGUCUGUGGUGAAAUCGCCCGGCUCAACUGGGCGAGGUCCGUGGAAACUGGUCGACUGGAGGACGGUAGAGGCGAGUGGAAUUCCCGGUGUAGUGGUGAAAUGCGUAGAGAUCGGGAGGAACACCAGUGGCGAAGGCGGCUCGCUGGGCCGGUCCUGACACUGAGACGCGAAAGCGUGGGGAGCGAACAGG